AGUCACUGACAUUAGAUACCCGCGUAGUCCCAGCCGUAAACAAUGUGCGUUAGGUGUGUCGGUAACCACGCGUUACUGAUGCGCCGAAGAGAAAUCGUGAAACGCACCACCUGGGAAGUACGGUCGCAAGGCUGAAACUUAAAGGAAUUGGCGGGGGAGCACCACAACAGGUGGAGCCUGCGGUUUAGUUGGAUUCAACGCCGGACAUCUCACCGGAUAAGACAGCUGAAUGAUUGUCAAUCUGAAGGUUUUACAUGACUAGCUG
rnacentral:rRNA from 1 species